CAAUAGCGUAUAUUAAAGUUGUUGCAGUUAAAAAGCUCGUAGUUGGACUUCUGGGCCGUUUUGUUGGUCUGCCGCAAGGCUGUACUAGCGGGAUGGACCAUCCUCUCGAAGGCUGGGGGUGCUCUUAACUGGGUGCUUUCAGAACUCGGGAUCUUUACUUUGAAAAAUUAGAGUGUUCAAAGCAGGCUUACGCUUGAAUACAUUAGCAUGGAAUAAUGGAAUAGGACUUUGGUUCUAUUUUGUUGGUUUCUAGAACUGAAGUAAUGAUUAAUAGGGAUAGUUGGGGGCAUUCGUAUUUAAUUGUCAGAGGUGAAAUUCUUGGAUUUAUGAAAGACGAACUUCUGCGAAAGCAUCUGCCAAGGAUGUUUUCAUUAAUCAAGAACGAAAGUUAGGGGCGCGAAGAUGAUCAGAUACCGU
rnacentral:rRNA from 1 species